rnacentral:rRNA from 1 species
UACGUAGGGGGCGAGCGUUGUCCGGAAUCAUUGGGCGUAAAGCGCGUGUAGGCGGUUCAGUAAGUCUGCUGUGAAAGUCCAGGGCUCAACCCUGGGAUGCCGGUGGAUACUGCUGGGCUAGAGUACGGAAGAGGCGAGUGGAAUUCCUGGUGUAGCGGUGGAAUGCGCAGAUAUCAGGAGGAACACCAAUAGCGAAGGCAGCUCGCUGGGACGGUACUGACGCUAAGGCGCGAAAGCGUGGGGAGCGAACAGG